rnacentral:rRNA from 1 species
UACGGAGGGUGCAAGCGUUAUCCGGAUUCACUGGGUUUAAAGGGUGCGUAGGUGGGCUGGUAAGUCAGUGGUGAAAUCUCCAGGCUUAACUUGGAAACUGCCAUUGAUACUAUCAGUCUUGAAUACCGUGGAGGUCAGCGGAAUAUGUCAUGUAGCGGUGAAAUGCUUAGAUAUGACAUAGAACACCAAUUGCGAAGGCAGCUCACUACGGGGUUAUUGACACUGAGGCACGAAAGCGUGGGGAUCAAACAGG